UACGUAGGGGGCAAGCGUUGGUCCGGAUUUAUUGGGCGUAAAGCGCAGUGUAGGCGGCCAGAUAGGUCUGCUGUGAAAACUCGAGGCUACAACCUCGAGCUGUCCGGCGGAAACCAUCUGGCUAAGAGUCCGGAAGAGGAGAGUGGAAUUCCUGGUGUAGCGGUGAAAUGCGCAGAUAUCAGGAAGAACACCUAUGGCGAAGGCAGCUCUCUGGGACGGUACUGACGCUGAGACGCGAAAAGCGUGGGGAGCGAACAGG
rnacentral:rRNA from 1 species